rnacentral:lncRNA from 1 species
AUGCUCCUGGGCAGCCCCGCCUGCGGGCGGCAAGCACGGCUCUGGCUCCCUGUCUGCACCCCGGACCCCACGGCCUCCCGGACGCCGUCCCGCGGGGCAGCGCAGUUCUCUGGGGCUGCGGCCCGGGUCCGCUCAGGAGGGGCGAGGGGUGCAGGCCGCUGCCAGGUCGAGGCCGAGCCUCGGGGCCGCUUCGCCCUCGGCCUGGAGGCAGCAGAGCCCCCGCGGCUAGGAUUUCCGCAGGUGGGCCUGGGGGGAAACGGGCCUCUGCGCUCGCAGCCCAGGGGUCCGGGAGGGCAGCACCCAGAGCCCGGGGCAGGCAGCAGAUGCCCGGUGCGACCACCUGGCCGCCGCCUCCCGGGAGGCUCGUGGGGAAGCGGUCCCGUCCCGGCUGGGUGCUGGGGGGUCCAUCCUGGCGCUGUCCCGUCUGCUCCCUGCGGACGCUCUUCUGGGGGCCUCCCCAGCGCCUGUCGCGCCCCAGGAGCCUCGCGGGUCCGCCGGCCGCCCUUCACUGUUGCUAAAAUGAAGGGGCCCCGCGGCGGGAAUGUGGUUUCCUCAGCACCCACAGGGACGGUGCCUCCACGUUGUCCCCUCCCCAUGGCUGAGGGCUGGUCCGUGCCACAGCCCGGGGCCCGUCUGAGCAGGGGGUGGCGCCCCAGGUGCGGGGACGGGCGGCGGAGAGCCAUGAAUUUCCUACAGCCGGUGCGUCAGGAAGGGGGUGGGGAGCGCCCCUCAUACUGUGCGCGCCCGGCUCGUUCAGCCGCUGCAGUGUGGCCCCGGGGUAGGGUGGGUGUGGCCCCCAGACUACGGCCCCGCGCUCUCGGGGAGCCAGGCGACCCCGUCACCUGGCUGCAUGGACCGACAUUCUCGUCCUGUGGCCGGGGGGGGGGCGCUCAUCAGAGACAGGGGGGCCUACAGAGGCCCCCAGAGACCCCCACGGAGACCCCGCACAGCCAAGGGCCGGGCCUCCUCUCACGGUGCUUAAAGCCAGGCCCCGAGAUCAGGAGUGAUGUGCUGUACCGGCAAAGCCAGCCGGGCGCCCCCGACCCUGGUCACAUCAGCAUUUGGGGACAAGUGCCCACAGGAGUCCCCGUCAUGUGCAGCCGUGGGCCCUGGAACCACUUCCAGCAGGAAGCUGGCAGGAAAGAGCCGGCCUUCAAUCGUCCGCGGUCUGCGCCCUGCUGUCCCCGGACACGCCACUAG